GGGGCCGCCUGGAGAGGUGCUGGGAGCUGGGUGGAGCUUAGAGGAAUUAAACUUUGGCCCUGCGCCUCGUCCAGCCUAGGUUCCACCCUUUUCUGGGAACGUGAGUAUCAACCAAGAAUGAAUCUCGCUGUGUUGUCCAGGCUGGAGUGCAGUGGCACCAUCUCGGCUCACUGCAACCUCUGGCUCCCAGGUUCAAGCGAUUCUCCUGCCUCAGCCCCCUGAGUAGCUGGGAUUACAGGCACGCGCCACCACUCCCAGUUUACACCCCGCCACUCCUGAGCACCGCACACCGGCUUCCUCCCAGUCCCUCAUCUGAGAACUCAUGAAGCCACUUGGAAUCCCUCUCUGCUUUGCCUGGCUCAUUCCAUGUCAAUUUCAGAUCUUCACUUCAGGUCAGCUCCAAGGAGGCUAUCCUUGCCCAUCUUCCUAAAAUAGAGCUCUCAAAACCUGGCUGUUUUCCUUCAGAGCACUGGCCUCCAAUUUAAAUCCCAAGUAAGGUACCUGCCGUUGGCAGAUUUGAGCUUUCUUCUUGGACACCUAAUACCCACAGUCCUCCAGGCUCCGGUAGAUUGCAAAUGACCUGCUUUCUUUCUGUUCCCGGGUGGCAUCGACCCGUCGGAGAGUAAAUCCCAAGUAAGGUACCUGCCGUUGGCAGAUUUGAGCUUUCUUCUUGGACACCUAAUACCCACAGUCCUCCAGUAAAUCCCAAGCAAGGUACCUGCCGUCAGCAGAUUUGAGCUUUCUUCUUGGACACCUAAUACCCACAGUCCUCCAAGCUCCGGUAGAUUGCAAAUGACCUGCUUUCUUUCUGUUCCCGGGCUGCGUUCGGACCCCUGUCGGAUAGUAACUCCCAAGUAAGGUACCUGCCGUCGGCAGAUUGGAGCUUUCUUCUUGGAGACCUAAUACCCACAGUCCUCCAGAAAAACAAACAAAGACAUGGAUUUACUGUGCAUAUUAGCAGAUCCAUACUGGAAAAUGCAUGGAGGUUUCAUAUACACCACUUACAGGUUUCCAAAGCCACAAUUUCCUUCAUAUGUUCAAACUCUUCAGGAUGCAGAAAGGCAGUGAACUCCUCCGGAGUAGCUGUCAGGUCACCAUUGAGGUCUGCAGCUUUGAAUCUUCUCUCAUCACGUGGCAGCAUCUUUUUAAAGGUGUGAUGAUCUGAAGAAUCAUGAAACUCUGCGGGGUUUCCUAGGUUUUCAGCUCCUCAGUAGUGACAAAGCCAUACCCAUCAUUGUCGAUUCGAUCAACAAUCUUCCCUAGCCUCUCCUUGCUCUCGUCCGGGGUGAGCUCGUCGAAGUUCUUGGAGUCCUCCUUGCCCAGGAAGGCCUCGUGGUCGUACUGGAAGCUCUGGUUGUCCUCAGGGGGCCGCUCGCCCAGCUCCGAGUCGGGCCGCACCACGCGCUCUUUGCGCACCGUGGGCUUGGCCCGCAGAACCCGCGGCGCCAGCACCAGCGCCAGCAGCAGCCCCAGGGCUAACCCCAGGCGGCCACCGCGCGCCAUCGUCCCGAGGAGAGGGCGGCCGGGAGGGAGACGCUGAGCGAGCGACAACAGCGGCAGCUCGGGAAUGGGGGCUCGGAGCGCGGCGGCCAAGUUUUAUGUUAUGUAUAUUUUACAAGUAAAAAAAUUUUUUCACCUCAGCCUGAACUGAACACUAGCUGACAGACGUUUUGAUUUCUUUGACCAUCACGGAAUCGUGGCCAAGCGCGGUGGCUCACAUCUGUAAUCCCAACACUUUGGGAGGUCAAGAUGGGCGGAUUGCUUGAAUCCAGGUGUUUGAGAUCAGCCUGGGCAACAUGACAAAACCCUGUUUCUAGUAAAAAUACAAAAAUUAACCAGGCUCAAGCCAUGACCAUGC
rnacentral:lncRNA from 1 species